CAAAGGGGAGCUUGUGCAAAGCAGGCUGAGAAAAGGUGUGUUCCUUGACCCUGAACCUGAUUUGGAUAAUGCCAACGUAGGGACAUAU
rnacentral:ncRNA from 1 species